rnacentral:tRNA from 1 species
UCCGCGAUAGUAUUCUCGGUGAGCACCCCCGGCUGUUAACCGGGUGAGGAACGUUCGAAUCGUUCUCGCGGAGCCA